rnacentral:snRNA from 1 species
GGGCUCGCUUCGGCAGCACACAUGCUAAAAUUGGAAUGAUACAGAAGAUUAGCAUGGCCCCUGCGCAAGGAUGACAUGCAAUUCGUGAAGCAUUUCGUAUUUUU